rnacentral:lncRNA from 1 species
CUGUGAACGAAAUGUAGUCAAAAAAUUUCUUAGUAGAUUACAAGUAUUGAGUUUUGAUUUUCACUUCACGAUUGUAGUGAUAGUAUACAUGAGUGGAUGAAACUUGAGACUGAAUCAAGUACACUAUUGAUGUCGAUUCUCCACGAUAUUAAAGGGGGCAAGAGGAGAAUGUAUGAGGGUAUAGGUAAACUCAAGAAAGGACCAUGGAAUGAAGAAGAAGAUAAGGUGCUACUAAAUCAUGUUAAAAAGUAUGGUCCAAGAGACUGGAGCUCUAUUUGAUCCAAAGGUCUCUUGCGCCGGACUGGGAAGUCUUGUCAUCUCCAAUAGGUUAACAAACUCCGACAUAAUUUGAAAAAGUAUGCGUAAAAUCACAUUUCAAGACUAUUUUUUGAAAAAUGUUCUAUGAUGCACACACUGCUAAAAUUAUUGGAACGAGCCUUACUUACUUGUUAUUUUGUACAUGUAUGGUUUUAGGCCUUGUUAUGCCCACACAUGGGUCCAGGGUGACAAGUAUCUUCAGAGACCAAGAACUACGAAAUAGCUUGUAUGGUUUUAGGGCCUAAUGUGUCUGUAUUAUAUAAUUUUAGGCUUUGUUCGUGUGUGUGAUUAGGUUGAUAUAUAAAAGGCAUUUUAAAUGUAAUUGAGUUCUUUACAUUUAUGAUUAAAAUGAGGAUCCCAAAUUUUUCGAUUUUUU